GGCGUUUGGGUGGGGGAGAGGAACAUAGCCUCACGUGUGCUUGCAGCCUUCCUCAUUUAUUAGCACUCGGCCUGGGGAAGAUCUGGAUUUGAGCACGUACUUAAAUUUCAGCGUGUGCUGUGGCGUUGCCCUGAACGGAGACCAUCUCAAGCUUUUGCUGAAGUGCUUUCCUGAAGCGGGGCCAGCAGACUGUGAAAGUUGUCUCGUCUCUUUUCUGCUCCACUGUGUACAUGCUCAUUGUGGCUUGCUGGCUAUUUAUUGCAAGAAAAAAAAUCAAUUGAGUUAGAGCUAGCUAAGUAACUGAGAGUAAGUUGGUUAGGAGGGUCAUGCAUGAGUUGAGAGCAAGACAUCUGACCGUGCCAUUAGUCUCUCUUGUUUCUAUGAUCCUAAUUCUGCUCUAAAUUAAUUCUUUUGUUUAGCUGCUGUUUUUUUUUCCCCCCUCCUUUUUGUUUUCGCAUGAAUGCUUGUCUCUAUAUUUAGGUCUGCCGGGACGGGAUGUUACGAAUAAUUGUUGAUUGAUAUUAUUAAACACUAACACGCUUGGCUGUGUUGCACUAAUGAUGGGGCUUUGGGGAUAUGCAAAUCAAUUAAUUGCAGUAAUUGCUGUAAUAGCUGUUUUGGAGGAUGCUGUUGAAGAGCCCUUGGGAUGGCAGACAAAGAGACAUUUGGAAGUGUGGAGGAAAAGGGGUCCUUGAGAGUUGCUGAAGAUUGCUGCUACAAGCUGCUGAUUUGCAAACCUGUGUUUAUUUUGUUCUCCAAAACCCACUCAGAGCAAAUCCUUCUUUGCUUUGUUUCAGGCUUACCCCUGUGUGGCUUCUCCUGGACUCCUUCUGAGGCCCGUUCUGCUGAGGCAGAGCUGAAGAAACUUAGAGAUGAGGCACAGCCUCUUUCAGGAUCAGCAGUUUGCAGAGUGUACCUCGAAUCCCAGAAGACGCUAGAGCUACCCACAGUCCAUGAGAAACAUUGCCUUAAAAAAUCCUUCUCACGGCCAGCUCGGAGGAAAUGCAACUGGUGA
rnacentral:lncRNA from 1 species